GACGUAGGAGGCGAGCGUUAUCCGGAUUCACUGGGCGUAAAGCGCACGUAGGCGGUUUGGAAAGUCGGAUGUGAAAUCCCUCAGCUCAACUCAGGAAGUGCAUCCGAAACCUCCAGACUUGAGUACUAAAGAGGAUCGCGGAAUUCCCGGUGUAGAGGUGAAAUUCGUAGAUAUCGGGAGGAACACCGGUGGCGAAGGCGGUGGUCUGGGCCGGCACUGACGCUGAGGAGCGAAAGCGUGGGGAGCAAACAGG
rnacentral:rRNA from 1 species